UUUUUGAAAAACUGUCAAAUAAAUAUUAACCAAUUAAUCUUCGCAAUAACUUAUAUUCAGAGCGUAAUAAGUUCAAUCUUUUCGCUCUACUUUUCUAAAGUAAACCACAAAUGAAUUUGAAUAAAUAAAAUAAAACGAACAAUAAAAAGUAAAGGCAAAUCAGGACAUUCAUGAGAUCGUUACCCGAAACUGAACACGGCAGUCGGAACACGUGUCGCGCCGAUUUAAACAUAAACCGACAAUAAAGAAAUAACACCAAAAUCUCUCCGCGCUCUAUGAAAAAAAAAAAAAAACCAAAAAAAUAAACAUUUUCACAACACCUAGGCGUUUUUAAUAUUCCGGUACUGCCGCCUAAAACGUGAUGUACUUAUCCGUGUAAUGUUAAAUAGCUGCGUGUAAAGUUUACACUUCGGGUCCCGCUAAACUUCCCCGGCUUAUAUUAUAUCGGCAAAACGUGAAUAUUUUUGGAACUCUCUCACGGUUGAGAUUUAAAGAAUUACAUUUUUGAGAUUUUUAUUUCCUGUUCGACCUCAAAACGGCGGAAACGUGUAUUUUUGGUCCUGAAGUUUCGCUCUCCGCCAGUACUUUCCCGCAAAUUAGGUUUUGUCGGCGUUCAUGAAGCAGCGUUCAGAUGCGUGAUAUUCUAUGGGAGCUUUGACAGUGCGUUAUCUGAUCUCUGUUAUUUGUCAGGAUUAUUUACAGUGUAUUUAUUAGAAGAUAUUACGAUUUUGCACUAGUGGAUAUUCUAAGCGGUCACAAAAAAGAAACAUUUGGGAUUAUUCAGCUACCGCCAGGUGUCUGUUUUAUAUUCUGCAACCGUUUAACGUUUGUAACGUCACGUUACACACGUUCAAGCCUUUUUGAUUUACGCCGCAGUUCACAUAUUGCCUGCAACAUUACCUACUGUGGAACAAUUUUUGACAAUGAUACAAGGGAUUUACAAAGAGAUUCGCAAAUCAUUAAGAUAGAUUCGAAAAAUCUUCGCGGUAUUCUGAGCGUUACAUCUCGAAUAUGACGACAGCUAAUGGCCACAUUAUUAUGUAAAUAGAUAGGCAGAGUGGUGGUGCCUACCUAAAUACCAGUUGGCAUUCACAGUACGCUGGUAUAGUCAGAAGAAACGACGCCUACGAGAAGAUGUGGGUUGGUGCUAUUCUAGAUCAUUACCACCCAGCCAGGUUUUCAGUUUGCGAAACUAUCACCCAUAAGUCAAACAGAUCAUGGAAGAUAUGGAAAUAAAUUAUUCUGAAUAAUAUCUUGAUUAUUCCCAUUUCAUACGGUACUGGUCGUAUAUCAAUAUCUUUAGUAUUCAUAUAAUGUGAUUUGACGCGGAUAAAACUGCGACCUACGUUUGGUAACUAUUAAACCCAUUACACACUCGAAA